GACGAACGCUGGCGGCGUGCUUAACACAUGCAAGUCGAACGGAAAGGCCCUGCUUUUGUGGGGUGCUCGAGUGGCGAACGGGUGUGUAACACGUGAGUAACCUGCUCUAGAUUUUGGGAUAACUUCAGGAAACUGGGGCUAAUACCGGAUAGGAGCUCCUGCUGCAUGGUGGGGGUUGGAAAGUUUCGGCGGUUGGGGAUGGACUCGCGGCUUAUCAGCUUGUUGGUGGGGUAGUGGCUUACCAAGGCUUUGAUGGGUAGCCGGCCUGAGAGGGUGACCGGCCACAUUGGGACUGAGAUGCGGCACAGACUCCUACGGGGGGCAGCAGUGGGGAAUAUUGCACUAGGGGCGGGAGCCUGAUGCAGCAACGCCGCGUGCGGGAUGGCGGCCUUCGGGUUGUAAUCCGCUUUCGCCUGUGACGAAGCGUUAGUGACGGUAAUGAGUAAAGAAGCACCGGCUAACUACGUG
rnacentral:rRNA from 1 species